rnacentral:misc_RNA from 1 species
GCAAACUUGGUCAUUUAGAGGAAGUAAAAGUCGUAACAAGGUUUCCGUAGGUGAACCUGCGGAAGGAUCAUUAACAAAUCAUCAAAAACAACCAUGUGUCAAUGUCUUCUUUCCCUUGAUGUGUGGGUGUAGUAGUUGUUGGAGAUGUCGAGGCAGUAAUAUAUAUUAUAUUAUUCAUUCUUCAUCUCCUCUCUCUCCCCUCUCUCUCAAGGGAAACGAUUACUUAUUUAAUUAAUGACUAUCAAUAUGACAGCCUUAGAUCAUUAUUAUUAAAAUUUUAAACAACUUUUAACAAUGGAUCUCUUGGCUCUUGCAUCGAUGAAGAACGCAGC